UCAAUGUAAAAAUUUGCCUUAAUGUAGAUAAUUAUUGCUACAGUUUCCUCUGUUUUGUGAAGAUGUGGUUGACACUACCUUGUUAUAGCUCUGGUCUAAUGUGUUUUCUGUGUCCUGACAUAUUUUUCAUAUGUCUAUUAAUAUCUGUGAUUUUAAGUAUAUUUGAAAUGACCAUAAACAUAUAUUUGGACAUAGACAGAAUUUUCAAUGUUUACAUUAAUAAUAAAAUUAAGUUUGGUCAUUAGGGGUAUACUUAAAGUCAUGGACCUAAGUUUUGUUGUUAUAUUAAGUGUCUCUGUUAUGUGCUGUGAAGCAUUCAUUUAUAAAUGUCUUUUCUUUGUUUGUUUAGAUUUGGUCAUUGAGCUUUAUCUCUGGAGCAAUUCUUGAGCAUUACGAGCACUACAAAUUCUCCACUGCACAAUAUCCAAUCUAUUCAAAGAACAACCUACAUUCUUCUCUGCAGUUGAACGCCUGGUUUGGGAUUUUCUCAGAGCAGCAGUUCUUCUGUAUUGUUCUCCACCCCACACCCACCCCCACUCCCCAAACACCCAACCCCGCCCCUAACACCC